ensembl:lncRNA
AUGGUGGGAGGUGGUAUGGUGGGAGGAGAAAUGGUGGGAGGAGACAUGUUGGGAGGUGUUAUGGUGGGAGGAGACAUGGUGGGAGGAGACAUGGUGGGAGGUAAUAUGGUUGGAGGUGGUAUGGUGGGAGGUGAUAUGGUGGGAGGGGGUAGGGUGGGAGGUGGUAUGGUGGGUGGUGGUAUGGUGGGUGGUGGUAUGGUGGGAGGUGGUAUGGUGGGAGGUGGUAUGGUGGGAGGUGGUAUGGUGUGUGGUGGUGUGGUAGUAUGGUGGGUGGUGGUAUGGUGGGUGGUGGUAUGGUGGUGUGGUGGUAUGGUGGGAGGUGGUAUGGUGGGAGGUGGUAUGGUGGGAGGUGGUAUGGUGGGAGGUGGUAUGGUGGUGUGGUGGUAUGGUGGUAUGGUGGUGUGGUGGUAUGGUGGGAGGUGGUAUGGUGGUGUGGUGGUAUGGUGGUAUGGUAGUAUGGUGGGUGGUGAUAUGUAUGUUGAGAUAAAGAGUGAAAUUCACAACCACUUUACCUUCUUAAUUACCCCUUUCUCCUUCCCUAAUUCUCAUCAGACAGGAGAGACAGCACCAUGGAUUAGCACUUUAGCAAAACGUUUUCACUCUCACUACCCUCCCUCCUCCCUCCCUCUUUCUACUGCUUCUCACCUUUCACUUUCUUCCUU